ensembl:lncRNA
GCUCACAGCAGGCUUAUGGAAGGAAGGUUACUCCAUUUUAUGACUGACAAACCAGAGACACAGGCAGUUGAGUAAUUGUCCAGACAGGCUGCAGAUUCAAAUCACUUCAAUGUGGUUUGAGAGGUGAGAGGAAAGAGAGGAAAGGAGGGAGGAGCCCUGCUGGCUGGAUUCAGGCUUCGUGGCUGAGGCUGGGGAACUGGAAGAUAAAACUAAAAAUAGAAGCUGGAUCUUACAUGCCAUGGGCAUUUGCUAUUAGAUCCCUGUGCAAGGAUUGUCCCUCCCUACCUCAGGGCAUCCUGUCUCGAAAACCUCUCCUCUUGACUCUUUCACACACACACUCAGGACUGAGAGCGGCUGCUGUCAGCUAUAGACACUGCUGGUGAGGAGUCUCAACCAGAGAAAGACCGGUAUAUUAGGCUGAGCAGUGUGUGCUCCCCCGACAGACACAUACAUUGCUUAAGAAUUCACGCCUGUCUAAAACCUGAGAAUGUAGUCUUCUGCGGUCACGGGCUUGUGCGGAUGUUAACAUGAGGUCACGAUGCAUUCGGGGAAGGUGGCUGAUUGUCCAUCAGCCAUUGGACCUGCAAGCAUGUUGGUGAGAAGAUACUGAGAAUAUCCAAUUUGCUGUGUCUUCAAGGAUGAUACAGAAGGGAGUUGACAGCAGCAGUCACUAAACAUUCUGGGCUGGAUGCCAUGUCUAUCUGGGAUCCGGUAGAGAUGCACCAAGCUGAGAUGCUACAAGGUGCGGCUGAGAAGAAGCAAUUCCAUUUGCCCCAGGAAGUCACAGGAGAUGUUGAAAUUGUUCAAGGAGGAUUCUGGUCAAGCUGCUUUCUGCAAAGAAUGGAAAGCCACCUUACCGAAAAGAUGAAAAGGACCACUGAGAACAUCACUUCGGAACUUUCCAUCUCGUAGCUCAGAAUGGAGUGAUGGGCCUUUCUCAGCCUUGUCCUGCAUCAACAGAACAGCGUCCUGUCCCUUGCCCUCAUCUUCUCCUGUUUCUCGUAGAAUACUUACUGUUAAAAAAACAGCCAGAUGACAUGUUUGACGUGUUAGAAUUCUCACGACUCUAGGGCUGCCAUGUUAUGAGAAGACACUUUGGCUGGCAGUUCCAGCUUUCAUGCACUUUCUAGACUGGGGUACUACAAGUGUGAGAACAAGUUUCUAGAAAAUUCCAGUCCCCAACCACCGAGAUUGGGGCUGGAUUUUGACCCUUCCCAGGUGAUGAAACAUGAAUGGCAAGCC